rnacentral:tRNA from 1 species
GCCGAUGUGGCGAAAUGGCAGACGCACCGCACUCAAAAUGCGGCGGAUUUCAUCCAUGCCGGUUCAAGUCCGGCCAUCGGUACCA